rnacentral:rRNA from 1 species
GUGGGGAAUUUUGGACAAUGGGCGCAAGCCUGAUCCAGCAAUGCCGCGUGCAGGAAGAAGGCCUUCGGGUUGUAAACUGCUUUUGUACGGAACGAAACGGUCCUGGUUAAUACCUGGGGCUAAUAACGGUACCGUAAGAAUAAGCACCGGCUAACUACGUGCCAGCAGCCGCGGUAAUACGUAGGGUGCGAGCGUUAAUCGGAAUUACUGGGCGUAAAGCGUGCGCAGGCGGUGCUGUAAGACAGGCGUGAAAUCCCCGGGCUCAACCUGGGAAUUGCGCUUGUGACUGCAGUGCUGGAGUACGGCAGAGGGGGAUGGAAUUCCGCGUGUAGCAGUGAAAUGCGUAGAUAUGCGGAGGAACACCGAUGGCGAAGGCAGUCCCCUGGGCCUGUACUGACGCUCAUGCACGAAAGCGUGGGGAGCAAACAGGAUUAGAAACCCGUGUAGUCC